GGACAGCGCGGGGCAGGGCAGGGCUUGGAAAGGCAGGACAGGAGGCGCAGCAGGAUGCUCAAUGCUAGUUGUUUUCCGCCUGUGUGGGUACCUAUAGUGCAGAGCUUAGAGUCCUCCGUCUGCCCCAGGCUUGUGCUUUAUCCACUGUGCGUCUCUCUCUUUUGGUUAGGUCAUCUCUGCAGAUCCCCAGAGAUCUUCCUUGUGGUCCCUCAUGGUCCAGGGCUAUUAUGGACAGCCGGCUCCACGUGAGCCAAAGUAAAGCCUAAAGGGACAAUACUAGCUAACAGACAGCAUCAUCAGACGGCUUGGUUUUGCUUUAGCCUAAGGCCCACUCACUCAGAAGCUGCGUUUCAGGGAGUUUAGGGUAGUGGUUUUCUCUUGCUUUGGUCUUAAGGACUGUGACUAAAAGGUUUUUUGUUUUUGUUUUUUUGGAGGAAUAGGGAGGAGGGCUUCAGCCUACAAUCGUGGUCUGUCUUGCACCGUUUCAACUUCCUGGCUCCUUUCCAGUCAUGGGAAAUUUUAGGAGGAAGUAAAGACACCUACCUCUUUUCAGUUCUGAAAUAAUGACUUCCUAUUCUUCUAGUCUGCGAUUUCCAUAAUUUCAUACAAAAUAGGGGCUGUCAAUUAUCUCUCCACGAGAAAAAGGUGGACUAGUUGAAGGAAAGUUGGGACAAAAUAAAUUCCUCUCUCUUAAAUCAUUAACCAGGAACUUUUUCCCUCUCCUGUGUCCAGUCCAGUUUGUUCACUUCUCAAGGGGGGACGGGACGAAAUAUUUAUAAACACAUGAAAGGUUUUCUUCUCCUCUAGGCUGUGAACCUAAGUGCUUUUUUAUAACACUAGAUUUCUGAAGAUCAUAGAAAGAAAACCUCCUGAUGCUUGCUUGCGCUUACCCUCUACUGUACAUUUGCCUCGAUGAUUUCUAAUAAUUCAGAACUAUCUUUGGUAUUUUUCAGUAUGAGUAAGAUUCCCUUUCUUCCGUUCUUGAGCUGCUGCUGCUGUUAGCCAUAGAAGUUUGGCCCAUUGUACAUGGGCACGUUCUAUGUAAAUGUAUUCAGUGGGGCUGUGGAUAGACCUUGUUAUAUGCAUAAACAUGUAUGCUUGUGCCCUUGUAUAUUUACGUCAUGAGUAAAUAUGGUAUACACAUAUUUCUUAGACCUCAUAAUGUUAGACGAUGCUACACAGUUCUUUGAGACCUUACUGUCCUGGAGAAAGCCUCUGACUUACUGGAAUAGACACUAGCCUAACUUAAGAGGCCAUCCUCAGCCAGCAUCUUGAUACAAUGUCAGUCAGUCCUUUUCAUGAGAUAAUUUGGAGGCAGCCACAUUUUAACAAAGCAUGGUAACCGUGGGAUGCUAGUGUUUCAGUGGAUGAGCUUUUGUUGGUGAAAUCAAAGUUAAGUUUUUCCUUGAAUUAUUUAUCAGGACCUGUGCCCACAGGCUUUCCUAGGAGAAGGAAGCCGGGACAUUUCCUUUGGCCGUGGCAAUCAUGUGAUUCAUUUGGGAAGGAAGACGAUGAUCAUUAAGAAGCCACUUGGAUCCGAUGAAGGCAGUGACCACUGAGAGGUCAGCUCCAUUGUGGAAAAUUGGAGCUAUUCAGCCUUGUAGAAAACAGGAGGGAGAAGGAACUCGGUGAAUAUUAUCCUGGCUCCCAAUAAUUCUGCCCACUGAUGACAACUGCCCCUUCUGCUCAAAUUUCCUGAGUCAACAUGGCCACUCCUAACUUGGACACGACUGUAGACAUUCUAUGUUACAAUGAGCCUAGAAGAAAGAAGAGACAUGAAAUAGCGAGAGGAAAUGAAAACUAUUUAUUUAACUGAACCAGCCAUCCCCCUGCAGAUUACGGCGACUGUGCCCAGGACUGUAGGACGGAUACAACCCAGCAGAAUAACUGCCAUGGAAGAAGGAUGCCCCUCCUGCCAAUUGGCACUUAUCAAUGACAUCGAGGGAGAGGGACAGAGUGCCUAGGUAUGAGCCUUCAUCAAGUGUUACGAAGGCCCUACUCCAACAGAAAGUGCUCAUGUGAAGAAAUGAUGCUUUGGACAAGACUUUCCUCUGAGCUGGUGCUAUCCAGGGGUUGGCAAGCAGGCUCCCUGGGCCUCAUUCCUGUUGGGUAUUCUUGUGAAUAAAGUUCUAUCGGACACAGAGCUA